GUAAAGUGUCAUCGCAGAUUAGCCUGUGCAGUCCGCACAUGCUAAUCAGGGAUUACACUUUCCGCUUUUAUGGUAUUUUUAAUUUCAAGGAAGUCCCUCCUUACCGAAAAUGAAGUUUAUGCGGAAAGUGUCGUCCCUGAUUAGCCUGUGCGGACUGCACAGGCUUACGCUAAUCUGGGAUGACACUUUACGCACAUGCACUAAGCCCAGUUUUCUCCGAAUGCGACUGAAAUAAUAACUUAUUGUAAUGUUAUGUACUUGUGUCUUGUAUUCGUUCAGUUGAAUGUCAAUAUAUUAAUACAUUUAUUUUUGUUUUCAACCUAUUAAUUAAAAUAAGGUAUUGUUUUUAAUCCGUUUUUAGUUUCGUUAUAGCUGACCUAGAUUAAAACAUUUCGUCAAAAAUUAAUAAAUAAAAUUAUUAAUAAAUUUAUGUUUUAAUAUAAUUUAUAUAUAAAUUUUGUAGGUGUGUGUUGCCAGUAAUGGUUGAAGAUAUGCCAAACAAAUUGUGCCUCUCUAUACAGACAGAUUUCAGGUCUCAAUUUCGACUUCAAAGGUCAACAUAUCACUGAUAUCAGGAAUUCUGUACAACUGUGGAACCAUGUAUGGUACGUGACCGCACAAUGUUGGUUGGCAAAAGGAUAUUGGAAUAAGCAAAGGGACUCAACAUUACACAGUCAUUUCAACAUGUAGAGUCUUGUCAGCAAUGAUGGAGCAGUACAUCAGAUUUCCAGAAUCUCGUCAUGAGCUGAAGAUCAUUGCCUAUGGAUUUCAUGAAUGAUGUAGAAUGAUUGGACUGUUGAUGGAACCCACAGUGCAUGUCCUGCUUCAACAUCUGAGCAUAGGUCCUUGUUUAUCAGCAGUUUAAAUCUUCAAGCAGUCUGUGACAGUAACUUGAAAUGUUUGGACAUAUGACCUGGAUGGCCAAGUUCUGUGCAUGAUGCCCAUUUAAAUAGGAACGGCCCAGUGGCGCAUUAAAUGGACAUUUUUCAAAUGUUCUCGAGGAUUCAGCUUACCGCCUGACAAGAAAUCUUGCUUUUUGUUCCGUAUCGAGGCCAUAGACAUUUGUAUCAUUUGCAAAAGAUACUGCGAUAUUUGUGCCUUUGUUCAUGCUUUAUAGUUGAUUAACAAUUGGAAGCCAUAACCUGUUUUAUAGGAUGGUGUUAGUGGGACAAUGAAUUUUGUAAAGAUUUAAAGACUGGAAAAGAUAAUUAAAAGUCAAAAGA